rnacentral:lncRNA from 1 species
UUCAGUAGACAACACAGACUAAAACAUGAAAUGUAAAGAUAGGAAGUGAGACAUACACUAUAAUUAAGAUCCAAGAACCCAUAGACAUAUUCCAUCUAAGGACCCCUAGAACUUACAAUAGCAAUACCACACUCUUACGAAGACAUGAGAGGGAUUCCACCGCUCAAGCAUCAACGUUUUCAAGCAAUACACAUUCACAAGUGUUUCCACACUUGCCAUGCUCUAUUUUUCAGCCUAGAGAGCCUUCUCUCAAGUGUUCUUACAUCAAUAUUCAGCAACCAAAUGAAAUAAACCCUAACAUGUUCUAUUUAUAAACUUAUUACAAUAAUAAGCAAAAAUGACAAAAGUGCCCCUUAAUGUUAAAUGAACAUAAUGGCUCCCAUGGAGUGCAAUAGAGGGACGACUUUUGAGCCCUUUUCACACUCCAACUCGUACACUCCGUAGGUUGCAUUCAACACACUAAAAACGUCCAUCUUCAUGAUUGUACCCGUAUCAUCCUCUCCAUCUUGAGAGGAAUUUGACCUCAAAUUCAUGACACAAACCAAAUAAAAAUAGUUCCAAAACAGCCCACAAAAUAAGAAGAAACCGAGAACAUAACAACUUCAUUUUGCAC